AGUGAACGCUGGCGGUAGGCCUAACACAUGCAAGUCGAACGGCGGCACAGGAGAGCUUGCUCUCUGGGUGGCGAGUGGCGGACGGGUGAGGAAUACAUCGGAAUCUACCUUUUCGUGGGGGAUAACGUAGGGAAACUUACGCUAAUACCGCAUACGACCUACGGGUGAAAGUGGGGGACCGCAAGGCCUCACGCGAUUAGAUGAGCCGAUGUCCGAUUAGCUAGUUGGCGGGGUAAUGGCCCACCAAGGCGACGAUCGGUAGCUGGUCUGAGAGGAUGAUCAGCCACACUGGAACUGAGACACGGUCCAGACUCCUACGGGAGGCAGCAGUGGGGAAUAUUGGACAAUGGGCGCAAGCCUGAUCCAGCCAUACCGCGUGGGUGAAGAAGGCCUUCGGGUUGUAAAGCCCUUUUGUUGGGAAAGAAAUCCUGUCGAUUAAUACUCGGUGGGGAUGACGGUACCCAAAGAAUAAGCACCGGCUAACUUCGUG
rnacentral:rRNA from 1 species